UAUUGUGGUGCAUCAUUGCUGAAUUUUAUUGGAGGCUAGUAUAUCCUUUCCAAGACAACUGGUCAGAUGGCAAGGUGGUCUCAAGUAUCAUACAGCAACGCCAUCAACAUCAGACUGCAACAAGGAUCCACUGGGGACAAUACACAGGAAUCAACUGAUUUUUCCGUCAACUGAUUCAAAUGGCAGUGAAUAAUAUGGGAGGAAAUAUCGGGAAGGAUGAGGUCAAGAGAAUACAGAUUGUAUGGUAGGAAAUUGAAUUGCAGAGAGGGAGGCAGAUUGCAGGUGAAGAGUUCAGAUAGUAUGAAGGUAUUGAAUCAUAGGGGACAAUUUAAUAAUCUGUGUAAGUUGAUAUAUAACUCUCUUUGGGUCAUUAUUGCUCCUAGCUUUUCAAUAAUAAGAUCUAUUUUGUUUGGGAUAAAAUGGAUGGUAAUUCAUUCAAGCCAAAUAGUCUCUUUCUGUUCCAAAUGACUCAAUGACCUAUUAGUUGUGCUGAAGUUCAUCUGUCACAGUUCUGCCCACUCUAAUUCUGCUGAUGUUCAUUUGUAAUUUUAUAUUUUGUCAACACUACUUACUGUAGUAAUGGUCAAUAGGUUAUUGUCAAAUUUGGAUAUGCAACUUCUUAUUUAGUUCUCUAAUUCAUGAAUAAAUGUCAUAAGGAGUUAUGACCUGAGAAGAGAUGCUUUUGAGACAACAAAUGAUCACUUGCCUCAACUUGGAUACAUAUUUAUCCUUCCUACUGUCUAGCUUUCGUUACCUAAACGAUU